AGAGGAAUUCCUUCUAACUAGGACAGCAGAGAGAGCUUAAUGGGGGAGAACAUUUGACCUAGGUGUUGAAAGAGAGAAGAAAUUGGACAGCCAGGGGUGGGAAUGAAGAGAAGACUCCAGAGUGGAGACCCAUCCUAAGGGAAGGCAGGAUGAGGAGAGCAUGAAGAGACAGGGAAAAUGACACUCAAAGCAGGAAGCACCGGCUAUGUAGAUAUUCGGCUCAACUUUUGAAAGAGAAAGGUUAUACCCAAGUAAAUGUUCCAGAAUGAACUAUCCUUAAAAUCACCUGCUUACCUCUCAGGAUAUGUUAAAGAGCUAUUAGAUGACCAGAAUGACCUGAAAUAUCUUGAAAAGAGUUAUCAGCUGCAUGCGAUGGCUCACACCUGUAAUCCCAGCACUUCAGGAGGCCAAGGUGGGUACAUCUCUUGAACCAGGAGUUUGAUACUAGCCUGGCCAAGAUGGUGAAACCCUACAAAAAAUACAAAUAUUACCGGGCAUGCACAUGCCUCUAUUCCCAGCUACUCCAGAGGUGUGUGCACGCCAGGAGGCUGAAGUGGGAAGAUCCCUUGAGCCCAGGAUGUCAAGGCUGCAGUGAACCAUGAUCACGCCAUUGUACUCCAGCCUGGGCCACAGGGCAAGACCCUGUCUCAAAGAAAAAAAAAAAGAAAAGAAUUGUCCGAGGCAUCAUUCCUUAACAGCAACAAUAUGAAAACACAGUUAACAUUUCUUUCUGUGUUUUAACGUACCAAUAUCUUUACCCAUAUAGUUAUCUAUAUUGCACUUACCUAUACCUCACGAAUAUGUGGAUGAAAUUUUGCCCUUAGUCUUCCACAUUCUUCUCCUUUGGAAGGUUUCAUGAGGAACGUUUCAGAAAGGAAUAAUUAGAAAGAAAAAUGUUAUGUCUCAUGUUCUUUCAUUUCACAUAUAUAAUUUUACAAAUUAAAUUUAUUCUUGUCAACUACCUGGGUCUACUGUAAAUCACUUCAAAUAUUAAAAAUAUGAUUGAUUGUGACUUGGUGUUUGCCCCAUUGGAAAAAUAUGUGGAGGCAUUAAAGUGGGACAGAAAUCAUAUACAAUUCUUUCUGGUCAGUGGCUAUGCAAUUUUCUGAAGAUUUUGAGCAUGAUCAUUAGGCAAAGACAGUAAUAUAAUGGCCCAGUGCCCUCCCUGAGGCCUGUUGUGAA
rnacentral:lncRNA from 10 species